rnacentral:tRNA from 1 species
GGGGAUGUAGCUCAGUGGUUUAGCGUCCUUUUCGCAUGCGGAAGGCCCGAGGUUCGAUCCCCCGCAUCUCCA